CUCCCGCACUCGCGCAGCCCAUCUCUCUUCCUCCCGUCACCCCCCUCCUGCCUACUCUCUCGAUCCCCACUGUCGCCGCCUCGGUCGCCGGCCGAUUCCGGCCGCUCCGGCGAGCUUUGGCGCCACCCAACACACACACAGCUGCUCCUGGAUGAGCUCUACUAGCUUCACCGCGUCGAUCUACUUUUCCUCACCUCAUGCGGUCGGAUCGGUCCGUAGGGCGGUUAGGUCUCCGUCAAAGGAGCCGCCUCCUCCCUCGCUCGGCUCACCCCGAUUCCCCUCUGUCUUCCUCCCGCCCCUCUCGCCGCCACGCUGCCUCCUCUCCUCCCGUGGCCGUCGAGAGCCCUAGCCGUCACUCCCCGCAGGCCAUCCUCCCCGUCCACCGCCGCCACGCCAUCGCUGGCACCUACCCGAGGCGUGGCCGCUGCGGGUCAACCGCAUCAGGGAGAUGGGUGCCACGCUACGGUCGCCGGCCCCCCUCCCUCCACCACUCCCCCACCAGACCGGAGCAGCAGCGCCAGCCGCCAGCAGCCAUCCAACUCCUCCCCGUCUCUCCUCCCCUUUUCUUCUCCACGCAAGCGCGAGAGAGGCAUCGUCACCAAAUUGGGCAAGAUUCUCUCUUUCCCGCACGCAACCAAUCGCCAGCCAGCCAGCCAGCAUCACUCCUUCUCCUGCGGCUAUCGUGCGAGGAGAAGAGAGGCUGUUGAGCUCCAGAGGUUUCGCCGUCCGUGGUUCUUGGGGGCUCCGAGCUCGUGAGCUGGCCUGUGUCGUUGCUGCCUAGGUUCUUGGAUUGGUGCUCCUGGAGAUGCUGUCUGUGAGCUCCCCUUGGAUGCACAUGAGCCGGAACGUCGUGGAUUUGGGCCUGCUCGCCGCCUGCCGCCGCCGCCGCCGCUGGGCCGCGCGCCCGGCGCCCAGGCGGCGCGCGCCAUGUGUUUGUUUCAUGGCCGCACCCAGCCAGACAGGUCUCGCGGCGAUCGACGUGCCGGCGGCAGAGACCAUUGCUAGCACGGCGGCCGGGGCGGCGAGGCUCCCUGAGCGCAUGUCCAUCGCUUCACUCUUAGAUGUCUUCUCCGACGACCUGCUCAAGCUCAACAACAACCUCAAAUCGAUAGGCUUCACGCAUAAGGAGUCAGUGCGUUACAGACAAGAAGCAAUGGAAGGUGAUGCCACUGCAGUUUAUGCGCUCAGGUUUCUCCGCUUUUGUUUGGCCUUCGUCGGGCCUUACCUUGAGCUCUCUAGAAUGAUUGUUGUAGGUGUGCUCUCAUCUUCGCGGCAUUGUCCACCUCUCCCCUGAGCUCCGCUCAAUUCCAUGGCUAGGGCCUGCUCUGUGUGCGACAACAUCUAUCCCAAAAGUGUAGGAGUCCUUGGACAGAGUUGGACUUCGUUGUCGGCAACCUUGCCAAUUCCAUCUUGUUCGUAGGUCUCGCGGCGAUCGACGUGCCGGCGGCAGAGACCAUUGCUAGCACAGCGGCCGGGGCGGCGAGGCUCCCCUGAGCGCAUGUCCAUCGCUUCACUCUUAGAUGUCUUCUCCGAUGACCUGCUCAAGCUCAACAACAACCUCAAAUCGAUAGGCUUCACGCAUAAGGAGUCAGUGCGUUACAGACAAGAAGCAAUGGAAGGUGAUGCCACUGCAGUUUAUGCGCUCAGGUUUCUCCGCUUUUGUUUGGCCUUCGUCGGGCCUUACCUUGAGCUCUCUAGAAUGAUUGUUGUAGGUGUGCUCUCAUCUUCGCGGCAUUGUCCACCUCUCCCCUGAGCUCCGCUCAAUUCCAUGGCUAGGGCCUGCUCUGUGUGCGACAACAUCUAUCCCAAAAGUGUAGGAGUCCUUGGACAGAGUUGGACUUCCUUGUCGGCAACCUUGCCAAUUCCAUCUUGUUCGUAGAAAACAUGGUAAGAGCAAGGAUGGAUUUAUGCAAAUUCAUGUCGUUGAUGCGGGAUCGCGUCGGCCCUCCCUUGUGCUAGCCAGCCAUCAGGAAGCUCCUAGAUGUGCUAUGCAUGACCUCAUCCUUGUGCUCAUCGGUUGGACGGUGCAAGGCGCAACUCCGAUGCAGCGUCGUGGAUGUGCGGUGUAGGAAGCGGUUCCUUGCCGGCUGGACGGCGUUCAGGCGCCACCCCGGCGCCCACUGAGUACUGCCUCAGCUACAACCUCCCUCGGGGGGGUGCAAAACUGGAUGGUGGCUCUGUUGUUCUCGGUGAUGAUCUUGCUGCUACCUCUAGAAGGAGACGGCUCCAAUGUGGCUAAAAGGCUCAAGCUGUAGUUCAGGCGGCAUUGGAGAGCCUAUUCUUUUGGUGUGUCUGUCCACUGCCUUUUCUAUCAUUAACUACCUUUUGUGCUAUACCCAAUUUGGUUUUCAUUUUAGCUUCUGUUUUUUCAGGAUCACACUGUUGGUUAUGUGCGUGCUCGAAGUGAUCACCUAGCGAAUGGACAUCGCGACGCGGGUUAGACGGUGAAGCUUCGCUCUAGGUCUAUUGUCCCUUUUGUCGUGUCAUGCUGUUUAUGAAUCGAUGUUCUGCUCCGCCGACCCCGGGAAACUUUAGUUAGUGUGGUGUUCGCGAAAGAUUAAUGGCUGUUAGUACUCGGAUCUGAAUUGGUCUUUGCUUUUGUGUGGGGUCUGUUUAGCUGUUGGUUGCUGGUGAAUGUAAGGACAUAAUUGACUGGCUUAUUUAGUAUGCUCGUAAUGGAUUCUAUUUCAUGUCU